rnacentral:tRNA from 1 species
GGGGUUGCAGCUCAGUGGUUGAGUGCUUGCCUCACAUGCAUGAGGAACUGGGUUCAAUCCUCAGCACCACCA